AUAUUAUCUUUUUCUCCUUUUUUUAUCAUGUGUUUACUUUGUUAGAAAUAGAUGGAUAAACAAAUUGAAAUAUUGGAAAAUAUUUUCACACCCUCCCAAUAGGAUAAUAUUAUCCAACAUUUGUGAGAAAAUGAGUGAAAAAGGGCUAUCCGAAUAAAUUUUCCAGCCUGACCGGAGAAAAUUAUCCAUCAUAGGAAACAUGUGAAAAUGAUGGAAAAUAUACUUUUUCUAACAUUUUCUAUCAAAGUAAACACACC
rnacentral:lncRNA from 1 species